UUGGAGGGCAAGUCUGGUGCCAGCAGCCGCGAUAAUUCCAGCUCCAAUAGCGUAUAUUAAAGUUGUUGCAGUUAAAAAGCUCGUAGUUGAAUUUCGGGAUUAGUACGUUGGUCGUGCCUUAGGUACGUACUGGUGUUACUGGUUCCUACCUUCUGACGAACCAUCAUGUCAUUAAUUUGGUGUGGCGGGGAAUCAGGACUGUUACUUUGAAAAAAUUAGAGUGUUUAAAGCAGGCUCGCGCUUGAAUACAUUAGCAUGGAAUAAUGAAAUAGGACGUUGACCCUAUUUUGUUGGUUUCUAGGAUUGACGUAAUGAUUAAUAGGGAUAGUUGGAGGCAUUAGUAUUCAAUUGUCAGAGGUGAAAUUCUUGGAUUUAUUGAAGACUAACUACUGCGAAAGCAUUUGCCAAGGAUGUUUUCAUUAAUCAAGAACGAAAGUUAGGGGAUCGAAGACGAUCAGAUACCGUCGUAGUCUUAACCAUAAACUAUGCCGACUAGGGAUCGGAUGAUGUUAAUUC
rnacentral:rRNA from 1 species